AAGGCCUAAAUUAAAAUAUUGUUUGUUUGCCCUUUUCCGACCCUAUGUUUUGAAACAGGGUAGGUAGGUAGGUAAAAUAUUUUAUUUUUUCCCCAAAAAAAAUAACUUGGCUCGGUAUAUUAUUUUUCAUGGGUAGGCAGGUAGGUUUAAUAUUUUAUUUUAUAUACAAAAUCAGCAUAAUGUCAUUUUUUAGAUAUAGAAAUAUCAUUUUUGUCUGUUUUGUUUUUUGCAAAUAAGUUUUCUGGGACUAUUAGUUUUGAAGAAAAAAAAUAUCACGUAGAAUGUGAAGCACAUAUAUUCAUAUGCACUACUAUUUUGUUUUCAAAUAUCAAAAUAUAGAGCUGUGCCUCAUAUCUUCAACUUUUACAUGCCUGGAACUUUGAACUUGCACUUAUAUUCUGUACUACGUACCUUGUACGCUUACCUAAGGUUUUCUGUAAGAGAUAACUUUGUACUGGUAAGAUAUGUCCGGACAGACAUACAUUACUAGUAGAAAAAGUCCCUAGAGUGUUAAAAAAUUUCAUGUGUGCCUUUGUUUCCAAUAAAAAUGCUACAAGAAUUAAAACUCAAUUGUCACGUAGUUAACAUCGCAUUUAUAAAUGAUUUGUAUGGAAAACUUGGCGAUUUUACUGCCAGAUAUUCUCUUCUUUACAGGGUUUUGUCACUUUUGGUUCAUGUCAGAUAUAAAUAAUAUAGCGGCAUCGUUAACUUAAUCAUCCUGAUCUGCGCAUCACAAAAGGCCAUUCCUACAUAGAAUACAACGUCCGUUUACAAAUUAGUUUGUACACAUGUAGAUAAUUUUGUAUCAAACAAACUUUUUUUAUAAAUGAACCCUGCUCUUUAAGUAUAAAGCCUUAAGAUACAGAGUAACGUACGUUAUAUCAUGAUUUCCUCAAUCUCAAACAAAUGCUUUGAAACUUCAAAUGCAAGUGUUCAUGUCAAACGCCCAGGUGAUACCAAGCGGACUGGACCUUAUACGUUAAAGAUAAAACCCGAGGAUUCCGGUAAAAAAGUUUUGAGCGGGAAAUACAAAUAUAAGAUUUUUGGUAGGAACGAAAAAAUAAAAUAAAAUAAAAUCUUGCUGGUAAAUACAAAUAAAAGAAUUUCAGGCGGAACGAAUUUAUAGGGUCGGUCGGUAAAGG
rnacentral:lncRNA from 1 species